GACAUGGGUAUUUGGAUGUGAAGACUGUGAGGUCAAGACUCAUUUCAUGAAUGUGUGUGUAAACCCCCUGCGAAGUUAGUGGAUAGUGAGCAGAGAUGUUCACAUCAACAUGAGAUUUUUGCUGUCAAGUGCCAAAACUUCACGGAUCAACAAAAGGAUGCUGGCUGGACAGAUAACAAAGUGACUGCUGCUUCAGGCAAGAAAUGCAGGCUCAGAAGUGUGACUACCCCAGCCAGGGGAGAACGGAGCUCAUGUACCUAGUGAAGUCACAUUUCUGGUACUGAGAGGGAGGGACAAGUAUUGUUUUAAGAUUUUUCUAAGGGUUCUUGGAUGUGCACCCCCCAUACACACAUUUUGCUUCUUGACUGAGGAGAGACCUUAGAAAAGACAAAGGCAUCUGGAGCAAGGAAGGGAAAAGAAGCAAUAAAGGGGCA
rnacentral:lncRNA from 1 species